CGUAUUUUCAAAGAUGGCGGAUUACGGAAGGCCCUCAAUAGUUCCCGGAUGCAGCAUUAGCUGCCCGCGGCGCAAUGGAGUUACAGCAGGAAGACCAUUUGUGAUGAGCUUUAACAGCUCAGCUGAUUUUUCAUUGAUGGCAAAGGGAGGGAAGCUGAAAGACCUGAAUGAGAUCAGAAAUUUAGGAGAAAGCUGAGCACCGAGAGAAAACCUUACAUCCUUCUGCUGUCUGCCGCCAAAAGAAAGAGGAUUCAGGGGUUUUGCUACUCAGACUGUGAAUGAAUUUGUUGUCAUGUUAUUCGCACAGUUACCGAGAUCACAGCGUAAAAGACUGGCACCGAAAUCAGGACAAACGUGAGAGGAGGGAAGACACACAAGCUUCUCGCUGCCCAGCCUAUUUAUAGCCUAUUUGUUUUACAGCAGUUCAUAGCGCUAUCAUCCCAGUCCGACCUUCUGUAGUCGUAGUCAGGCCCACCUCUUGCCUCCGCUCCACUUUCUUCCACUACUUCCUCCAAAUUUCCUUCCCUUUGUGAAUCAUCACGUCUUCUUCUAAAGGCGUUUCUGAUUGCAGAACAACACAGACUACAAAAAGACCAAAUAAGAAACCAAAGACAUGUACUUAGACAUGUAUGUAAUUAGUGGAAACAGCAGUUAAGGAAAAUACUAGCACGUUUAAAAGCGUCACUGACUCUCUUGAAUUUUUGGGGAAGCAGGUAGAGGAUGUCACUAAACAAGUUGAGACUCUUCAAACCAGAGUCGAAACACUGGAAAAAGACAACACUGCUGCGCUCAAAGUGCAACGGGGAAGAAAGCAGGCUUCAGAGGUCCAUUCGCUUAUAUCGAUGGAAAAAGAGUGACAAUGAGUAACACGUAGGUGACAAAACAUGUUGUAUCAGGCUGUUGACUGUGACAAACUUCUCUUUAUCGACUUGGCUAAUAUGGUUAGAAAGAAUUAAUGCAUAAAAAUAAAUAUUGCUACUAAUUACUUACACAUCCAAGAUUGUGUUAAUCAACAAACCCCAAAAAUGAAAAUACAAAAAUUAAGCAUAUGGAAAAUAACUAUUUCUUGUUGGUUGUUUUUUCAUCAAAAAACAA